ACAGACACACUCCGCGAUUAAUUGCGAUUAAUUAAGUAAUUUUAUCAAUUAAAAAUAUGAGAAGUGUAAAUUUCUAUCGGAAGUGUCGAUUAAUGCAACGGGCGAUUACCGGAAUGUAUUGUUUACCGCGGAUGUUUACGAUUCAGAGCGAUUCGCUGGUAGCAUAACAAGAUGAAAAUGGUUAGGUACAACCCGAGUGAGUACAAAUUACAAUACACAAUGAUUAAAACACAGUAUAUUUUUUGACAAACAUGUUGAAUAUUUAGCUGGUCGGAAUUAUAUCGGGUAAAAAUUGUAUUGUGUGUGUAGCUGUGCUGUCGAGGAAUCUUUUUACAACCACCAAACAAUCAUUAUUUAUCUCGCUCGCUCCGAGUGCGUGUACAGUGUCGAAAUUCCGUUAAAUAUGUAAGGUGAUAAUAUCGGCUACUUAUAUAAACGCGUUGCGGCACCAAGUCGUUUUACCUCGCGUUUACGUUUUAUGUAUCGGAAAUUCGUGACGUAAAUCCGUGAUUUUCGAUAGUGAAGUAUGCGAGUUAACCUUCGUUCAGCAGUGCACAUAUGUAGCUACAUAAAUGCGGAUCUCUAGUAUUCAUCGAUUCUUCGAUGCAGCUGAUGCGAAGCAAUCUGAGGCAAAAUCUGCAGUGAAUGGAGCAAUACCUGAGCUGAUACACCUGAGAGUGUAUUAGCUAAGGUACAACGAAUGAGUUUAUAUGAAGUGGAAUCAGGAUAAUUGGACAUCUUUAAUAUUGAAGAAAGCAGAGGAAAUGGUAAGUACAUAGAUAUAAA